AUCCGGUUGACUAGUUCCAAAUAGGACGAAACGUGCGUCUUGGAU
rnacentral:hammerhead_ribozyme from 1 species